rnacentral:tRNA from 1 species
GCUGGUUUUGCUUAAUGGUAAAGCGCCUGUUUUGUAAUCAGGUUACAAGGGUUCGAUUCCUUUAACCAGCUCCA